rnacentral:lncRNA from 1 species
CCGCGCGUCCCCUCCCAGCUGCAUUCCUGCCGCCCGCCUGGCCCUCCGAUCCCCUCCCCGCCUGCCGCCGCGCCCCUCCCGGCCCGGUGCUGGGGGUCGCACUGUCCCCGGGGACGGCUGGGGCUAAGCCGCGCCCUUGGCCCGGAGGGCAAGGCCCGAACCUACUCUGCUGGUGACCUGGGCAGGCGGCCUCUACCCGCGGGGCCCCACGCGCGUCGAAUUAACGCCUUCCAACCGUUUAUUGAAUUUAAACGUAAUGGGCCACUCGCGCAUCGGGUCGCGCAGAGGUGGACCCAGUCGGCCUCCCCUGCAGCGCAGGCGGCGCCUGGUCCCAGGAAAGCUCCCGGAGGGUCUGGGGUGCGGGCUGGGGCCAGGCGGGCUCUGGGGCAGAGCAGGGUGAGGCCUCUUGCAGGCCCGGUCGAGGUCCUGGGGGACGUCGGGGUCCUCCUCAGGAGACAGCGCCACUUCCAAGAGGUCCUAAGACAAAGGGGGCCAGUAGGGGCCUCUGGGUGGGAGGCAGGCUGCGCUUCUCCACAGCCCACUUCCCUCACAGCCUACCCCAGGGUCACCCCCUGCCAGGUCCCUGUCCUGGUGACCCCACCUGGGCCCCCAACCACCCCACCUGCUUCUGCCUUGGACAGAGAGGCCUGAGCCCUCCCGCGUGCCUGCCCACCACGUUCUCAUUCCAAGGACAUCUGCUCAGCGCCCUGUGGGUUUUCUCCUUCCCUGCCCAGUCCCCACAGCCAUGCCUUCCAAGUCCCUUACCAGCCUGGGCAAGGCUGGCACCUGUGGACUGUGAAUGGGUAUUGGGGUGGCAGCGAGGGAGUUCCACUGUAGCCCAGCCAUCUGCAAUUCAGAGUUGGAUAUUGGGGCUGACUGUCCUAAGUCCCCUCCUCACGGACCCUCUGUCCUCAGACCCCCGUCAUCUCCUUGCUGGGGCCGCUCACCCUCCCAUCCUUCAAGAAAGCAGCUCCUUUCUUUGUCACAGCCCUCCUUCAGUCACCUGUGCCCGGAGUGGGUGGUGGGUGGUCAGUUUAUCCUUCACGCCCAGACACCCAGGAGACCACCUCCCGGUAGAAAGCACCCUCUCGCAGAAUGCGGCAGCACAGAGGUCACAGUGGCUCCCAGGCAGCCCUUCCCUCCUGCAAAGUCAGAAAUUUGCACACCCCAGGGACUGAACUGCCAGUGGGGAUUCCUGUCACUGGCCUGGCCCCAGUGUAUCUUCAAGAAUGACUCGUCUGGCACAGUGGGAGCAGGUGGUGGACACAGGGGCCACCGUUCCUCCAGUCUGGGAUUCUUACCAGACAAAUUAACACAGUACAGUCCUUGGUAUGAGGCUUGUACCUAA